UAAAGAUCAGGUAUGCUUUUUCCCCCAGCACUCCAUGUGAAGUUUCUGAUCUCCUUGAGCUACAUUACAGUGUGUGAUUGGUGUAGCACCCCUUAAAACUCAGCAGUUGUUACCCUUCCUACAGCAUUCCUUUAUUUUUAAUAUUUCUGAGUUGAUAGUUUAUUGUUGUACGAGGGAUUACUGUAUUUAUAUAUUUUAUCCACUUUAACACUGAUACUGCAGGACAGUCUCCAGGACCAGAAAAAUGAACUAUACAGACUGUUGCAUCAUAUUGGUACACAUUAUUAGUGCACCAUGGCUGAUGUUUUCCUCCAUCAUACUGACAGUGACAACAACAAGUAAAGAAAAAAAAAAGAAAAA